rnacentral:tRNA from 1 species
GUGGUGGCUCAGUGGUAGAGCGCUUGUCUAGCAUGUGUGAGGCCCUGGGUUCAAUUCUCAGUACCACA